ensembl:lncRNA
ACUCUUAGUAGGGUUUGAUUCAUCUCUGAGGUGACUCCAGCGUUACGCUAGUCGACUCUUAGUAGGGUUUGAUUCAUCUCUGAGGUUACGCUAGUCGACUCUUAGUAGGGUUUGAUUCAUUUCUAAGGGGCAACUCAAGCGUUACUCUUAGUAGGGUUUGAUUCAUCUCUAAGGGCAACUCCACCGUUACGCUAGUCGACUCUUAGUAGGGUUUGAUUCAUCUCUAAGGGGCAACUCAAGCGUUACCCUAGUCGACUCUUAGUAGGGUUUGAUUCAUUUCUGUUUGGGGUUCACACUCUGUUUAGUCUAGGAAAUAGGAAAAGGCAAAAAAAAAAAAAAAAAAAGAAAAGCAACUUUGUUACACAAAUAUUCUAGUAUUGGAAAUCUGCACAGCGACAGCACUGUGGGAGAGAGCUGAGUUCAUGGUUGUGACUUCCACUCAGAGACAGGACUGUGAUCGGUGAGGAAACCUGCAUUACUGUCUCUGUCUCCAGCGUCCCCGUCACCACCACCACCACCUGAUCAAUCAGUGUCACCUUUUCAUUUGUUUUGUUCAAUAGUGUGCGUUUGUGAAAGAAAGAUUGUCUUGCUGUUCGAAGCCAGUAGAUCAUUAUGUUCCACACACAGUUAGCUGUCAAACACCACAGAACGAAGAAAAAAAAGAACAUUGUGAAAAGUGUGUGUAUGUUUGUCUGUCUGUUUUGUGUGGGUGUGAGCACAUAUGAGUGUGUUGUCUGUGUCUGUAUAUAUCUGUACCAAAGAGUUUGCCUUGAUCUGUAUAUUGCAGCCAUGUACAGUUUUUAAGAAAUCAUACUAUUGUAUCUUAGCUAAGAUUAUUUAGCGGGAUAGUAAUGUUUUAAUAAAGCAUUUGGAAGACGUGUGCAAACUCAUUUGUCUGUGCAGUGCAUUUCUCCUCAGUGAACCCAGUUUAAUUAACCAGACAAGGCACUCUUUAAUCUCAAUUAAAUUUGUGUUAGAUGAAGUAGUUGCUGUUAGGUGUCAUACCUUAAUCUACAGACUUUGCUUGAAACGUGUUGAAGUCUAUUGCUUUUUUUUUUAUUUAUUCCUAUAUGCCUCAGAAAGCCCAAAGUGUCAUUACAGAGAGAAAUUACGAUAAGUCGAUUUGUUGAGACUUCAAACACACAAACAAACUUGUCAAAAGUAUAGUGUGAUCUAGAGACCGUAACCUCGGCAGCCAGAAAUAU